AAAAUUCAAUUUUGCAAUUAAGGGUUUUAGUAAUAGAGCUAAUAGAAGAUUUUAAUAGGAAAACUGGCACAUGUAAAAUUAAAAUGAGAUUUAUAUUGGGAGUACAUUCUACAGAACCUGUUCCAAAGAUAUUGGCCAAGGAUCUAUCUGCUAUGUGGAUUUUAUUUUUCUCUAAACAUGGGAAAUAGGUUGUAAAUUUAUUUGCAGAGUUUGUCAUGUGCUUAUUUGCUCCAGAAUCUAUAACCUAA
rnacentral:misc_RNA from 1 species